rnacentral:snRNA from 1 species
ACAUGAGGAUGAUCAGGCUGUGUUAAUCACCAUGGCUGAAUUUGCUGAUAUCACUGUCUUGGUGAGUUUCCACAUUGUUCCUCACUAGUCCAUGUGUACCCCACCCCCACAAAAAAGGCGUGCUGAGUAGAGGAGAAUGGCCUUCCUCAAUAAGGAGGCCCAGUUUUCCAUCAAGGUUAAAAGAGUUACUAUACUUUCCAUUAGUUUACACUAAACAAUCCAUCAAGGUCCAUUUAACUAUGGAUUUUCCUUACUCAUGUCUAAAAAUUGUGAGUUUUU